ensembl:lncRNA
CACACACAUCUACAUACAGGAUCAGGUUGAAAUAGAUAAAACAAUGGUGUAUGUACAUGUUUUGGUUUUCUCCACUUAUGAGUCACUCAGUUCAAUAUCAAUCUGUCAUGCUAAAAAAGGGCUGAGUUGCAAAAUCGUACAGGAAAUAUGGUGCAUCACAAUAUCACUUUACAGCAUCGCAUGUGUAAUGGCUUGAACAUUGCUUCAAGUGGUCCAGAGAGAUCACUCUCAGCCAGGGGAGUAGCCAGGAGUUAAUUUCAAGAGGCGGGUGGAAAUGUACUAUACAACAUUAUAUUGUGAAAUGUGACAUGCUCAUGCUUUUUGGGUGGAUGCCGGACAGUAGGAGUAGGGGAAGCAUGCAUGAUUCUGAUUGGUUAAAUCUGGUGCUCGCAAUAGCAUUAAAAUGUUAAUAAACAAACUCAGGCUAUUUGAGUAUGAAAUUGUAAUGGAAUCUUUUAUGAACAUCAUUACAUACAACAUAACUUGAUGCGUAUAUAUAUUCAGUUAUAAGCACCCACAAGUAAGCAUUUGGAACUGAUAUAAAAUAUUUCAGGGGGGUUCAAACCCAAAAUCCAGCCCUCUAGCGACGCCUCAGCUCUCAGUCAACAUCAGUUUAUUAAAAGCACUGCUUUCUCUCUUUUAUACCUGUUUUUUCUUAACAAAAGGAGGCUUAGGCUACUUAUGCAUGUGAUUUGUGAGAUCAAAUCGUAGCCAGGUGUCUGAAAGAGAGCAUUACUGUCCGGCUCGCUGUGUGGGAACGACAGCCUUUCUCCCUCGACCUGUCAAUCAGUGUGACAUGAGGAAACUUGUUCAACUUCACCCUCUCUGAAUGGUAGCUGUGAGACUGGCUAUGACUGAACUGGAGAAGAAAAUUCCCGUUUUUCCAGUUCCCGUUAUUCAUGUUCCUGUUUUACAUGUUAUAGAACAGAGAUUGAUUAAUGGCACAUGUCAUUACGUCCCCACACCACGCCAUCCGACGUUCCCUCCAGAAUUUCGAAAUACAGUUCGUCUUCGUUAUGGUACCGUAUACAGUUUUGGGUGUUUUUUAUUUAAAAUUUUACAAAAGCUUCAAGUGCAGUUAAUUAUUUGUCAUGCUAUACGUGCAAUUGGACGACUGCUUGAAGCCGUGGGCUGCGUCCAAAACCACGUACUUACCUGCUAUAUAGUAGCUGAGAUACAUGUAUUUCACCUACUAUAUGCAUGUAUUUCACCUACUAUUUAGUAGGUGAAAUACUUGUAUAUAGUAGGUGAAAUACUUGUAUAUAGCAGGUGAAAUACAUGUAUAUAGUAGGUGAAAUACAAGUUUUUUGGCUACGAUAUAGUAGGUGAAAUACUUGUAUAUAGUAGAAUAAGUGUAUAUAGUAGGUAAAAUACAUGAAUAUAGUAGGUGAAAUACAUGUAUAUAGUAGGUGAAAUACAUGUAAGUAGUAGGUGAAAUACAUGUAUAUAGUAGAAUACGUGUAUAUAGUAGGUGAAAUACACAUGUUUUGGCUACUAUAUAGUAGGUGAAAUACAUGUAUGUAGUACAAUACGUGUAUAUAGUAGGUGAAAUACUUGUACAUAGUAGGUGAAAUACAUGUAUAUAGUAGAAUACGUGUAUAUAGUUGGUGAAAUACUUGUAUAUAUUAGGUGAAAUACACGUAUUUCGGCUACAAUAUAGUAGAUGAAAUACAUGUAUAUGGUAGAAUACAUGUAUAUAGUAGGUGAAAUACAUGUAUAUAGUAGAAUACGUGUAUAUAGUAGGUGAAAGACAUGUAUAUAGUAGGUGAAAUACGUGUAUAUAGUUGGUGAAAUACUUGUAUAUAUUAGGUGAAAUACACGUAUUUCGGCUACAAUAUAGUAGGUGAAAUACAUGUAUAUGGUAGAAUACAUGUAUAUAGUAGGUGAAAUACAUGUAUAUAGUGGAAUACGUGUAUAUAGUAGGUGAAAUACACGUUUUUUGGUUACGAUAUAGUAGGUGAAAUACAUGUAUAUAGUAGAAUAUGUGUAUAUAGUAGGUGAAAGACAUGUAUAUAGUAGGUGAAAUACACGUAUUUCGGCUACGAUAUAGUAGGUGAAAUACAUGUAUAUAGUAGAAUACAUGUAUAUAGUAGGUACAAUACAUGUAUAUAGUAGAAUAUGUGUAUAUAGUAGGUACAAUACAUGUAUAUAGUAGAAUAUGUGUAUAUAGUAGGUGAAAGACAUGUAUAUAGUAGGUGAAAUACACGUAUUUCGGCUACGAUAUAGUAGGUGAAAUACAUGUAUAUAGUAGAAUACAUAUAUAUAGUAGGUAAAAUACAUGUAUAUAGUAGAAUACGUGUAUAUAGUAGAAUACGUGUAUAUAGUAGGUGAAAUACAUGUAUUUCGGCUACGAUAUAGUAGAUGAAAUACAUGUAUAUGGUAGAAUACAUGUAUAUAGUAGGUGAAAUACAUGUAUAUAGUAGAAUACGUGUAUAUAGUAGGUGAAAUACAUGUAUAUAGUAGGUGAAACACACGUAUUUCAGCUACGAUAUAGUAGGUGAAAUACAUGUAUAUGGUAGAAUAUAUGUAUAUAGUAGGUGAAAUACAUGUAUAUAGUUUUUGAAAUACUUGUAUAUAUUAGGUGAAAUACACGUAUUUCGGCUACAAUAUAGUAGGUGAAAUACAUGUAUACAGUAGGUGAAAUACAUGUAUAUAGUAGGUGAAAUACACGUAUAUAGUAGAAUACAUGUAUAUAGUAGGUGAAAUACAUGUAAGUAAUGGGUGAAAUACAUGUAUAUAGUAGGUGAAAUACAUGUAUAUAGUAGGUGAAACACAUGUAUAUAGUAGGUGAAAUACAUGUAUAUAGUAGAAUACAUGUAUAUAGUAGGUGAAAGACAUGUAUAUAGCAGGUGAAAUACAUGUAUAUAGUAGGUGAAAUACAUGUAUAUAGUGGAAUACGUGUAUAUAGUAGGUGAAACACACGUAUUUCAGCUACGAUAUAGUAGGUGAAAUACAUGUAUAUGGUAGAAUACAUGUAUAUAAUAUGUGAAAUACAUGUAUGUAGUAGGUGAAAUACUUGUAUAUAGUAGGUAAAAUACAUGUAUAUAGUGGAAUACGUGUAUAUAGUAGGUGAAAUACAUGUAUAUAGUAGGUGAAACACACGUAUUUCGGCUACGAUAUAGUAGGUGAAAUACAUGUAUAUGGUAGAAUACAUGUAUAUAGUAGGUGAAAUACUUGUAUAUAGUAGGUCAAAUACUUGUAUAUAGUAGAAUACGUGUAUAUAGUAGGUGAAAUACAUGUAUAUAGUAGGUGAAAUACAUGUAAGUAAUAGGUGAAAUACAUGUAUAUAGUAGGUGAAACACACGUAUUUCAGCUACGAUAUAGUAGGUGAAAUACAUGUAUAUAGUAGGUGAAAUACAUGUAUAUGGUAGAAUACGUGUAUAUAGUAUGUGAAAUACAUGUAUAUAGUAGGUGAAAAACUUGUAUAUAGUAGAAUACGUGUAUAUAGUAGGUGAAAUACAUGUAUAUAGUAGGUGAAAUACACGUAUUUCGGCUACGAUAUAGUAGGUGAAAUACAUGUAUAUAGUAGAAUACAUGUAUAUAGUAGGUGAAAUACAUGUAUAUAGUAGGUGAAAUACUUGUAUAUUAGGUGAAAUACUUGUAUAUGCAAGCAUUUCACUUGCUAUAUACAAGUAUCUCGUCAGCAAAAACUUCCCCAUAUCAACAGAUACACGUUCUGUAAAGCCGUUUAUGUGGAGUGUCUAGCCUACAAAUCCCUGCGCAGAUUGUAUCUAAAGAAACAGUGACAAUCUACAGCAAUAAUAUAAACCUGUAAUUUGCCUUGUAGCCCGAGCUACUGUCAAAGCUGCGGUUAUAGAAAAUAAAUCUCAACACCUUCCGACCAAUCGGAUUUGAGAUUUCGACAGGGCUAUAAUAAUGUAAUAAUAAUCAGGUUUCGUCGUGUGUCUUAGUAAUGAUAUAUCGACUCAGCCCUAGUUCGGUUUUCCGUUUUCGUUUAAUGCUCUUAGCAUACCAGUGUGGUUCAUUAUAAUGUGCCAUCCAAACACUGUCAUAAAGUUUUUGGCUAUGGAUGGCUCACAGCACUGGGAAGUGAUGUGUAUGUGUGUGUGUGUGUAUGUGUGUGUGUGUGUGUGUUAAUUAGAGGUCGUGCAGGGAGAGAGGCUUGAGAUUCCACACACUCAAGGCCUCUGAAUCAAACAACCUGGUGCUUUUUGGUGGUUUUUUUUGCACUUUCAUGCCAACUGGUAUCAAUCCAGCACCAGUGGAGCAAAAUGCUCAGGAC